GGGAGCUGGCGUCUUCGGCGUCCGCAUUGUAAUCUCAAGAAGUGUUUUCCGCUUCGGACCAAGCCUAAGUCCCCUGGAAAGGGGCAUCAUAGAGGGUGAUAAUCCCGUACAUGGCUUGGAGCGCCCGAGGCUUUGUGAUACGCUUUCUAAGAGUCGAGUUGUUUGGGAAUGCAGCUCAAAAUGGGUGGUAAAUGCCAUCUAAGGCUAAAUAUUGGGGAGAGACCGAUAGCGAACAAGUACAGUGAUGGAAAGAUGAAAAGAACUUUGAAAAGAGAGUUAAACAGUACGUGAAAUUGCCAAAAGGGAAGGGUAGGAGGUCAGAGAUGCGGCCUGGGAUUCAGCCUUGCUUUUGCUUGGUGUUUUUCCCAGAUUGCAGGCCAACGUCGGUUUUGGGCACUGGAGAAGGGUAGGAGGAACGUGGCACCCCUCGGGGUGUGUUAUAGCCUCCUACUGGAUACAGCGACCGAGACCGAGGACAGCAGCGUACUCGCAAGAGCGGGCCUUCGGGCACCUUUACGCUUAGGGCGUUGGCAUAAU
rnacentral:rRNA from 1 species